UACGUAGGGGCCGAUCGUUGUCCGGAGUUAUUGGGCGUAAAGCGCGCGCAGGCGGCCUCGCGCGCCCGACGUGAAAGCCCCCGGCUUAACCGGGGAGAGUCGUUGGGGACGGCGGGGCUUGAGGGCGGGAGAGGUCGGUGGAAUUCCCGGUGUAGUGGUGAAAUGCGUAGAGAUCGGGAGGAACACCUGUGGCGAAGGCGGCCGACUGGGCCGACCCUGACGCUGAGGCGCGAAGGCGUGGGGAGCGAACGGG
rnacentral:rRNA from 1 species